rnacentral:lncRNA from 1 species
AUUAUUUCAAAUAAAAUCACAGCAGUCCCUGGCUAAAUACCUGAAAUGACAGGCGCUGGUUUCCUGCCAGCGCUGCUAAAAAAAAAAAUAAAAAAAAAAUCCCAGUCUUGGGCUCCAUCAAUAGCGGGGUGCAGCUUGAAGGACAGGUUUUGCCUGGGGAAUGGGCUGUUGUCCCAGGGAUCCAGGAGCCCUUUUUCCCCCCCGGCAAUGGGUCCUUUCUUGCGGGCACAAUGAGCCCUCUCGCUGCCUUUCUUGCCUUUUCUUCCCCGGCUUUCCCACAUUCUGUUCACACCUUCAUGAAUAUUCAGAGGCCAUGGGCCAUAUGAAGCUAUUGAGAGCUCUUGUUAACACUCCUGCUAAUGACGUGCACCUUCAAUGGAAAACAAAAACACAGAUAAGAGCUUGUUAGCGGAGACCCUUGUUCCCCACCUAACAAGGUUGCCAUUGACUCGGACACUUGUGGUGACACAUUGCUUGCUCUCGCUGUUGCCUCUUUUGAUUUGCGACUGGCUUUUACAGAGGGGUUUUUCUCCCCCCUCCUCCCAUUUUUUAUUUAUUUAUUUAUUUAUUUAUUUAUUUAUUUAUUUAUUUAUUUAUUUAUUUAUUUUAUUGUGAGGUUUUAAGCUAAUUAAGCAGAAGGUCAGGGCUCCCCUACCAAUGCCUGGCGGUGCGGGCAGGAGAUGCUCGGCCGCGGCGCGUGGGAACGCAGGGCCAGGAGCAGCGUCGCUCAGCCCCAACCCCAAAUCCGCGCUCCCCAAGGGCUCCCUGCCCGGCCAGAUGUCCCCGUAGGCCAAAACGCUGUCCCCAAGGUGAUGAGGUGGCUCCAAAAUGCUACCAGGCUCCUGAGCCGUGCUCUCAAGAUGCUCCUGGGAAACGCUGUUCCCAAUUUCUGGCUCUGCAAAGACAGCGGAGCCUCCUCGAUGCUGUGGCUCUGCUCCAUCCUCUGACUGUGCUUCGCGCUCCCCCGGCCACCGCUGUUAUCCGCGAGGCUUUCAUUAGGCCGGACCCACCCAUUCGAUCCUGCAAGAUGCCUGCUUGUUUUUUUUUGUUUUUUUUGGGUUUUUUUUGGCCACACCUCGUUAUUUCUGCUAUUAUGAGGCCCUCGCAGCGUUGUUUGUCAUCUUGUCGAGGCCCCUCGGUUUCUAUGGAUACUGCCUCCUCAGUGGCCAGGCUAUCAAUUAAAGACAGCUUCGGCUCCCAACUCUUCCCGAGGACUUCGCCGGGAGCCAGAGAUAAUUUCCCUGAAAAGCCCCGUCCGGCACGGCGUCGCCUCUCCAGCACCGGCCGCUCGGUUGCAGCUCAGCCUGUUCGGGUUUUCGAGGUAGAUGCGUGCUGCCAGCAGUGCUGCAAUAUCCAUCGAGGGCCGCCCAGAGGAGGUAGGAUGUAUUACGUGGAGUUUCUCCAUUAACAUUUAGCAAAGGACAGAUUUAAACAUUUCCGUGCCAUCCAGCCAUUUUACACCUUUUAACAACGUUCCUGGAUUAGCUCUGGCUUUCAUUCGAAAAUGUCUCUGCGAUACCUGGCAUUCACAGAUGCCGGUUUGCAAGAGCGCUGUCACGAUGCCCCUGCCCACACGCAACGCUGCCUGGAACCACAGAGUGAUAAAACCUCUCCUCGCUCUUCCUGGAUGUAAUUAUUUCUAAUAAAAUCUAUUUGUGCCUCA